ACGCACGCUGGCGGCGCGCCUAACACAUGCAAGUCGAACGAGCGAGAGAGAGCUUGCUUUCUCGAGCGAGUGGUGAACGGGUGAGUAACGCGUGAGGAACCUGCCUCAAAGAGGGGGACAACAGUUGGAAACGACUGCUAAUACCGCAUAAGCCCACGGCUCGGCAUCGAGCAGGGGGAAAAGGAGCAAUCCGCUUUGAGAUGGCCUCGCGUCCGAUUAGCUAGUUGGUGGGGUAACGGCCCACCAAGGCGACGAUCGGUAGCCGGACUGAGAGGUUGAACGGCCACAUUGGGACUGAGACACGGCCCAGACUCCUACGGGAGGCAGCAGUGGGGAAUAUUGCACAAUGGGGGAAACCCUGAUGCAGCGACGCCGCGUGGAGGAAGAAGGUCUUCGGAUUGUAAACUCCUGUUGUUGGGGAAGAUAAUGACGGUACCCAACAAGGAAGUGACGGCUAACUACGUG
rnacentral:rRNA from 1 species